GUCCAGGGUAGCCUAGUGGACAUGGCACCUGCCCGGUAAGCAGAAGGUUGUAGGUUCGAUUCCCGCCCCUCGACA
rnacentral:tRNA from 1 species